UUCUACAAAGCUGCAAGUCUAGCACAAAGAAACACCAUCUCCUGACUGGAACAUUACAGAUAAGAGCCAGAAAAAUAUUUGCAGCCGUAACCUGCUAUGAAGUUGAAUACUGUGAAGACACCAUGAUGACCUGCACAGACAACAUUUAGCCUGUGACUUUAAAGGACCUCUUCUGAUCACCAUGA
rnacentral:lncRNA from 1 species